GAUGAAGAACGUAGCGAAAUGCGAUAAGUAAUGUGAAUUGCAGAAUUCAGUGAAUCAUCGAAUCUUUGAACGCACAUUGCGCCCGCCAGUAUUCUGGCGGGCAUGCCUGUCUGAGCGUCAUUUCAACCCUCAUGCCCCUAGGGCGUGGUGUUGGGGAUCGGCCAAAGCCCGCGAGGGACGGCCGGCCCCUACAUCUAGUGGCGGACCCGUCGUGGCCUCCUCUGCGAAGUAGUGAUAUUCCGCAUCGGAGAGCGAUGAGCCCCUGCCGUUAAACCCCCAACUUUCCAAGGUUGACCUCAGAUCAGGUAGGAAUACCCGCUGAACUUAAGCAUAUCAAUAAGCGGAGGA
rnacentral:misc_RNA from 1 species